rfam:Agrilus planipennis Contig71375, whole genome shotgun sequence.
UUAUCUGAAAUAAUUUUCAAAAGAUUGCUUGUAGCCGCCUUGCCCUUGCCUAAAUUAAUUUGUCCGAAAUUUAAUACCAAAUCCGCGUCGGGGUUACUUUUUAUGGAUUUAGGAUCCAUAAAAAUCUAUGUUAGAAAGGAUUGAAUUCUUAAUCCUGUUCAUAGUUGGGCAAGACUGGCUUUUGGCGUCGUGCUCAGUAUUAACGGGCGCAUGUUUUUUGUCCUUAUUGGACCUAACACAAACUACACAGGAAACCGUUUUUGAUUUACAUUCUCGGAAAUUGUGUUUUCCGCCGCAUUUACCGCAAAUCUGUUCUUUUACCUUGCAAUUUUUUGAAAGAUGGCCGAAGUCGUAGCACUGAAAGCACUGCAACAUUGAAAAAUGAUCCCUGACCCAAACGCGUUGCCAAUUUAAAUAAAUUGGCCUGUCUAACAUUUUUUGCCUAAGUUUAGGACUAACCUCGAAAACCGCACUGUAUGUUUCCUUAUUUCCUCUUGUUUCGAAAACCGCUAGCUGUUUAAACUCAGAUUUAAAUUUGUUAAUGUCGUUUCCAAAAUAGUCGUCUAUGAAGUCGUUAUGCCCUAAUAUAGUCUCGUGAAUAUCUUUAGCAUUUAAUUCCUUACUAACUCUAUCUAUCCUAACACGCGGCCACCGUUUUUUUAUGUCUUUAACCGCAACAUCAUCUUUAGCCUUAACCGACAAGGACAUUUUAAUUUUUUCCGCGUCCUCUCUUCGCGCGCAAUCUACAACUAAAUCGCCCGAUUUAGUAGCCCUAACAUUCUUGACCGCAAUAUUGUUUUUUAUUGGAUCGACUGUGCGCAUAACGAUUUUCUUUACAAAAUCGGCACUUUUCCCUGCAACUUUCGAUUCGAUUCUGACCGGAAAAGAAUUCUCUGUAACCCUAACAGUAUUAACUACAUUUUUUCCUACUUUUAGUCUAUCCGCAUAUGAAGUAAAUUGACUCGUACUUACAGUUUUUUGUGACUGCUUGGCCUCCUCAAUUUCCCUGUCUUUCCUCGCGAUUGUGGAGCGUAAUUCUUUUAUUACGCCUGUCAUCUGCACCAGACUUUCCAUUAAAGAAUCCGCUGACUCUCGAAUAACCUUCCGGUCCGCUACUUUAAUUGUUUCCGCCUUCAUCGGAACCAACAUAUUCACAAUUUUAUAAAACCGCCUCGCGUCCGCGCUCAAAUUGUCUUCCGGCAAGUUUCCCCUAAUCCUAGUAGUUUCCCCGCUAUCGCGACGUUUCUUUUUCGUGUCGCACGCAAUUUCCUUCUCGAUUUCAUCAGACCAGGAACUGACGUUUUUCCGCUUCGUCGGUUCUUGCGAGAAAUCCAUCGUUGUAAUAUUUACCACACACUCACUCGCGUUGCUCGAAACCGAAUGACGCCGAUUGGUUGCCCCGGUGGGCGUGUCACUGCGCUGUUCGCUCAUCACACGUCCGACUGCUACGGCUGCUCGAUGCGAACUGGUAACUUAAGACAGCAGGACGGUGGCCAUGGAAGUCGGAAUCCGCCAAGGAGUGUGUAACAACUCACCUGCCGAAGUUACUAGCCCUGAAAAUGGAUGGCGCUGUAGCGUCGUGCUUAUACUCUGCCGUCAGCGGCAGGAGCGGCGCGGCCCUAGCGGUCGCGUCACGAAGCUCUGACGAGUAGGAGGGUCGCGGCGGUGAGCGCAGAAGGAUUGGGCGUGGGCCCGUCUGGAGCUGCCGUCGGCGCAGAUCUUGGUGGUAGUAGCAAAUACUCCAGCGAGGCCCUGGAGGACUGACGUGGAGAAGGGUUUCGUGUGAACAGCCGUUGCACACGAGUCAGUCGAUCCUAAGCCCUAGGCGAAAGCCGAUGUCGAUGUGGCGUGUUUAUUGAACCAUGAUAAGCAGUCCGUUCACGUCCGACGGGCGAAAGGGAAUCCGGUUCCUAUUCCGGAACCCGGCAGCGGAACCGUUAACAAGUCGGGCCCUCGCAUGAGAGUUCGUCGGGGUAACCCAAAAGGACCCGGAGACGCCGUCGGGAGAUCCGGGAAGAGUUUUCUUUUCUGCAUGAGCGUUCGAGUUCCAUGGAAUCCUCUAGCAGGGAGAUAUGGUUUGGAACGCGAAGAGCACCGCAGUUGCGGCGGUGUCCGGAUCUUCCCCUCGGACCUUGAAAAUCCGGGAGAGGGCCACGUGCGGGUGUCGCGCCGGAUCGUACCCAUAUCCGCAGCCGGUCUCCAAGGUUAAGAGCCUCUAGUCGAUAGAAUAAUGUAGGUAAGGGAAGUCGGCAAAUUGGAUCCGUAACUUCGGGAUAAGGAUUGGCUCUGAGGAUCGGGGCGUGUCGGGCUUGGUCGGGAAGCGGGUCCUGGCUGACGUGCCGGGCCUGGGCGAGGUGAUGGCGCGGGCUUCGUGCCCGUGUCGGAUCCGAGCUCGGUCCCGUGCCUUGGCCUCCCGCGGAACUUCCUUGCUGCGAGGCGUCGGUUUGCGGCUCGCGUCGCGGCCGGCUGUCCUCUUCGGCCGCCAUUUAACGGUCAACUCAGAACUGGCACGGACUAGGAGAAUCCGACUGUCUAAUUAAAACAAAGCAUUGCGAUGGCCCCAGCGGGUGUUGACGCAAUGUGAUUUCUGCCCAGUGCUCUGAAUGUCAACGUGAAGAAAUUCAAGCAAGCGCGGGUAAACGGCGGGAGUAACUAUGACUCUCUUGGGACCAACUCGGCUCUCACUGCAAUGCAGGAGUGUUCCCGAGGGGGAGACCCCAAGGGGUGAGUCCGUUGCUCCGCCCGUGGAGUGUCACGGCGCUUCGGCGCCGUGGCAUUUCGCGGGUUCAAGGUGUCUUAAUUGCACCAGGGGUUUGGUGAGAAGUUUACCCUUCAAUGACCCAUGCUCAAGACCGACCACGUGCCUCCUCGGUGGCGACGCUGGU